CUCUUUCCGAUCGUUCAAUUUCGUACGCGUAAUUCACGAAGAUUCACCUAUGGAUUAUUAAUUACUUGCAUUUAACAAACUGGCGCAGUCGAGCAACAGGUCUGGUAGGUUCGUGCACCGACGUCAACGACGAGAAGUUCAUUGGUAGAUCCAUGACAUCGUACAGUACUAUUAUUGCUUGUUACUCGUGCAAUUUGUGAACUGGAACACCGGCACCGCACGACGCAAAUACAAAACCGUGGAUUGUUCGGUCGAGUUAGAAUCGGUGCGGUGCAAGCGAGAGUCGAACGAAGGAGAGAGUAGCCGCCUCGGAUGGAAUAUUGAUGAGCAAAACGAAGUUUUCGUAAAUAAUUGUUGUUCGCCUCUGAAGAGAAAUACAAAAAGCUUCGUUGAAUCUCUGUUGAAAUUAUGGCGACAGAAUUCUUCAUGUCAAGGAGAUCCAGAUAUUGGACGGGCAGGAACGAUGGCCAUGUACAAAACAAGUGAAAUUGGUCAACGCUAAGAAUUAAUGAUAUCAACAGAAUUUAAUCGUGUUGUUGAUGCGUCGUACGCUUGUUCAGUAUAUAUUUUGAAGUCGCUUUUUCCUAAAAAUACACACGUGUCUAGCAGAUAACAUAAUUAUAUAAUUAAAAUUGUUUAUUGUUGUUACAAUCACGAUUAAGGCAGGUCGUCGUCAAGCUAAGUGUCCUUGCAUUUAUAUAAAAAAUAAGCGCAUUUGUAGUAAUUUUGAUAACCCAACCUGACAUUGCGAUUACAAAUGAUCGGACGAUGAAUACGUCUCUACUUAAUUAUAAAUAAUUAAGUCCUGAAAUAGAAUUGAUCUAAUCAGACGAAUUACGGAUACACGAUCCAUUAAAAGAUUUGCAUUAAACGGAGGGAGAAUUUGUUUGCGAUGUCGAUCUGUUUGAACAGGUGGGCUCUUAAAUCGUUCGUCGAGCAAAAGAUCUCGAUGAAAAGGAAAGUUACAUUCCACGUGUGGAACCAUCAUUGAACUUGAAUACGAGAAAUCUUUCUCCCGUUCUAGCAAAACUACGGACCGGGUGAAAGUGACCAGCGAGCGCAGAAUUCGGGAGAUCCCAAUUCGCGUCGAACUCUAAUCGUUCGCUAGUUACGUCGAUUUUAAAUAAACACCGCGACGUCAAAUA